rnacentral:rRNA from 1 species
GACGAACGCUGGCGGCGUGCUUAACACAUGCAAGUCGAACGGGAUGAUUUAGAAUCUUGCUUUUAGAGCAUCUAGUGGCAAACGGGUGAGUAACACGUAGGCAACCUGCCGACAGGAUGGGGACAACAUUCCGAAAGGAAUGCUCAUACCGAAUGAAGCUCAGGAGAGGCAUCUCUCCUGCGUGAAAGCUGGCCUCUAUUUAUAAGCUAUCACCUGUCGUUGUGCCUGCGUCUGAUUAGCUGGUUGGUGAGGUAACGCAUCACCAAGGCGACGAUCAGUAGCAGGUAUGAGAGGAUGGACAGCCACAUUGGGACGGAGACAGGGCCCAGACGGCUACGGGAGGGAGCAGUGGGGAAUCUUCAGCAAGGGGUGCAAGACUGACGGAGAUAGGCCGAGGGAGGAAAGAAGGACGUCGGAUCGGAAAGGACGGUUGAUGGGGAGGAACGUGCGAAGGGUGAAUAAACCGUUGUAAUGACGGUACCUGGCGAGGAAGCCACGGCUAACUACGUG